rnacentral:rRNA from 1 species
AACGAACGCUGGCGGCAUGCCUAACACAUGCAAGUCGAACGAGUCCUUCGGGCUUAGUGCCGCACGCAUGCGUAGCGGGUGGGAACCUGCCCUUAGGUUUGGAAUAACUCGCCGAAAGACGUGCUAAUACCGGAGAUAAUCCUCCGACCAAAGUGUGAUCGCCUUUGGAUGGUCCUGCGAUGGCUUAGCUUGUUAUGAGGCUAAAAUGGUAUCAAUGGGACGUUACAUAAAUGGUUUGAGAGGCUGAGCAGCCACACUGGUACUAGGAAACGGCCCAGACUCUUACAGGAGGCAGCAGUGGGGAAUAUUGCAAAAUGGGCGAUAGCAUGAUCCAGCAAUGACGCGUGAGUGAUGAAGGCCUUAGGGUUGUAAAGCUCUUUUACCCGGGAUGAUAAUGACAGUACCGGGAGAAUAAGCACCGGCUAACUCCGUG